ACGAUGUUUGUGUUCAUUAAGAACUAUAGGCUAUCUAUGAUGUCAAUUAAAUAUUUUUAGAAUUAUCAUCUUAUUUGGGCUUAUCAAGUCACAUUCUCUACCAUGCAAUCUACCAUUCUCCAAAAAUAUGAAAUUACCAGUCAUUCCAUUUUUUUUCAUUCCGAACCCAGUUGGGUAUAUGUAACUACUUGAGGCUGUCACCCAAUAACUCUUGCUAGUACUGUGUAUUACCAGUGUCUCAUGGAUAAUGACAUGUCUAUCACAGUCAAAGCUUAUAUCUGUCUGAUUAGGCCUGGACACUAAAGUAAUAAGGUAUACUGAGGAGAGAGAAUUUGCUAAGACAUUAUAUGAGUCACAUGUUGUUUCAUAUUACAAACACAAUAUUGUGAUGCAAGCCUAUAAAAAGCUUUUUAAAUGAAAAUGGAUCCAAUGUAAUUACAUCUCUAACUUUCAUUUUGAAAUAUC
rnacentral:lncRNA from 1 species